rnacentral:lncRNA from 1 species
AUGAGCACUGGGUGUUAAAUGCAACUGAUGAAUCACUAAAUUCUACCCCUGAAACUAAUAAUACACUGUAUGUUAACUAAAUUGAAUUCAAAUAAAAAAUGAAAAAAAAAACCUGUUAUGUGAUCCAUUCUAGGACAUAUUAUUGUUGGCAUGGAUUCGUAUCAUUGUUUAUAUUCAUAACCUUGUGUUGGCAGGUGCGUGCUUGUUCCUGUGAUGAGUUCAGAGCAACUGCCAUCUGCGCAAUGGGAGGUCCGAAACUGAAAAGGGAAGGGGAAGACUGAAUGUAUUCUGAAAAGGGUCCUUGAGAAGUAGUCUUUUGACUUUCAGUACAUCAUAAACAGAAGGCAGCAGGGGAAAUUUUUUCAGGAGAAAUUGCACAAGCAGGGACUAAAAUGGUAUCUGUGCCUUCAUGGUCAACGUCUGUCUUCAGCAAUCCCACUGCACGUGUGAGGCUGCAGCACUGCGUGUCCAGGAACUUAGGCCCCCUGCCUGUACCCUUGCUGCCAUGCUGGGGCAUGUUGGUGUCGGAACGAGUGAGAAUGAGCCAACCCGGAGAAUGCCACAGUUUCUUGCGUCCUUACAAGUUCAUUGUGAGACUUCAGGCAAGUGGGUUGACUGGGAAGACCACACGUUCUCUGGGAAGCUGGAGAAGCAGCCCCUGACAGCUCCAAGGCUCGUAGCCAAACUAUUCCGAGAUCAUAAAAGAAAAGAACUCCUCUCUCCCAGAAUCGGUUUCUUCCAAGGUCCAGAGGCCUUUGUUACCAGCCAAACUUGGUUUGUGUUCCAGUUCUUCUGGCCAGAGGAGUGGAGUCUUUAACCAGAGAAGGAACGUCCCCCAGAUAAGCGGUACCUUCCUCCUUCCCAGUUUAAUGACCAACCUUUCCACGCUUCAUUUUUGACCCUAGGUGGGUAUUAUGGGAGAGAUAUAAAGCAUCUGCCUUAUUUCUUCAACUACCAGUUAAAGUCUGUAUUUGCGUAUAUAUUAUAAACUGUUCCUUUCAUUGUUCAAAUGGUAAAUGUGACUUAAUAUUUGCCCAGGUGGAUAAGAUAGCUGUUUUAUGGGUAUAUUAGAACUGUUAGUUAAUAAAAUCUAACUCAGAGGAAGGUAUUUCA